AGUCACUGACAUUAGAUACCCGUGUAGUCCAGGGUGUAAACGCUGCAGACUUGGUGUUGGAGGCCCUUUGGGGGCAUUCAGUGCCGGAGAGAAGUUGUUAAGUCUGCUACUUGGGGAGUACGUCCGCAAGGAUGAAACUUAAAGGAAUUGGCGGGGGAGCACCGCAACGGGAGGAGCGUGCGGUUUAAUUGGAUUCAACACCGUAAAACUCACCAGGGAAGACUGUUACAUGAAAGCCGAGAUGAAGACUCUGCUAGAUUUUCAG
rnacentral:rRNA from 1 species